GCAAGUCGAGGGGUAACGAUAUCUUCGGUUAGGCGACGACCGGCGCACGGGUGCGUAACACGUAUGCAACCUACCUUGUACAGGGGAAUAGCCCAGAGAAAUUUGGAUUAAUGCCCCAUAGUAUUACGAAAUCGCAUGGUUUUGUAAUUAAAGAUUUAUUGGUACAAGAUGGGCAUGCGACCCAUUAGAUAGUUGGUGAGGUAACGGCUCACAAAGUCCGCGAUGGGUAGGGGUUCUGAGAGGAUGAGC
rnacentral:rRNA from 1 species